GAUGGUAAAUCUUGACCGUUAGUUUUUUUCACUGCACCAUAUAAAACCGAGCUCCCACCAGAAAACCCUAGCCGCCAUCCACUCCUGCCCCCUCAUGCUCGUGCCCGUCCCCAAUCAGCUGCCCCCGUUUCUCCCCAAUCCAUGCCCCGUCUCUCCCCAAUUCCCUCUAGAUUCUUCUUGCCCCUUCUCCUCUGCCAAGCCCUAGCUCCUCCUUGUCCACACCAAGAAGGGUUUCUGGUCUAGGUGUUUGAGGAAGAAGAAGAGGUGCCAAGAGGAGGAAAGGAAGAAGAGGUGGCAAGAGGAGGAGAAGCUAGCAGACAAGAUCCCACUUUCCAUGUCCGAUUUGUCUCCAUCCAGCUCCAAGGGAUUAUGUCCUACAAUGAUCUAUGUACAAAGUAUAGCAAGAUGAUUCUCACUGCCCCGGUACAUGUUUGAGUGGAUGUGGAGCAAUUAAGUCCGGUGAGAUUCAUGGCAAAUUGGUGGGCUGGGCAGCAGCUUGUUCUUCGAUUUCUCCAUAUCCAUCUCUGGCUACCAUGGGAUUCAAUGUUGGUUGAGGGGCUUGGGGACUCCGGUGCUGCGCAGAGUUGCCUCGCGGCCGUGCCCAUUAUCAGUGCCCAGGAAGGUGGAGACUCUCAUGGCAAAGGUUUGGGUGACUCGCCGCUGUGUUGCAGCUGAUGGAGCAAAAGUGUGGUGGCUUUGUGUUCAUCACAGCUGAUGGUUUCUCAUUGUCAUAUCAAUGGAGUUGUUCUUGGAAAAAAUUCAGUAUCUGAUUCUCAUCAGUUUAGAGUGACAUACCUGGACAUUUAUUUCAGUGAAGUCCAUUUCAGGUAUUCAGCAGAUUCCUCUCACCUCCAAUCACGAAUAGCUGCUGUACACAGUCUGCUCGCAUCGCCAUCCUCCUUGUGUCUACGAGGUGCUCGAUCUCAGGAGACAGAUUCUUUUCAGUCUAGGGUCGCUUCAUGAUUUUUCUUGCUGGUCACCUGGUCUGUCUGGUAGGUACCUAUUUUUACUGCCAUGCCUCUGUAACUCUCGCUCGGCUUCUUGUUCACAUUUUGUACAGAUAUUUUGCCACCUAUUGGUUCUGUUGUGUGUUUUCUGUUUUUUUUUGUGUUGGCUGGGUUUGUUGGUUGAGCAUUAGUCUUAUUCAUGGUUUGUAGUCAUGUUUUUAUCAUGGUACCUCAAAGUAAAUAUCCAGCUCAUUCUAGGGCAGCUUGAAAAAUAUUCAGUACCUAUCUUAAAACAUGAGGAUUCAUGAUGAAGAAAGCAGCUUGUCCUAUUGUCUAUGCAUUAUCUUUUAUUGCGCAUAAUUUCAUGUAAUAGGAAAUAUAAGAUCCUUGCCUAUUAGUUGGUAAAAGUACACAGAAUAGUGCUACCAAAAGAUACCCGCAUUAAUAAUUUAUAUGGCAUAGAAAGGAAAAAAUGAAACUGGAACCAAUAUUUAUGAAAUUAUAGGAAACAAUGGUGAUAAGAGGACAUAUAUUCUGAGAAGGUCAUAAUGUUUAGGUACAUUAAAUUCAGGCGUUCAAAGAAACUGAUAGCUCACACUUGCUAAAAGGGGGAGAAAGUACGCCUAUAUUCCACAUAAGAAACAUGAAAGCGUUUACUUGGAUAGUAGAGCAACAGUGAGUUUCCUCUGAAUCAUAGUAAUGAAUUGUCAGCUAAGCUAACCAGACAUCAUGCCAGAAGAGGAAACAAUUUGUAGGUAAGCUAGCAAAUCAUGAAAGAUAAAAUUGGCCCACGGAUAUUCAGAUGAAGACAAUUGCCUUGGUGUAGGAAAUGGUACAAUCCAUGUCACUGCCAUCGUAUAAAAUAUGUGUAUAUCUAAAUGGAGUGCACAUAUAUGGUUUCAGCCUUUCAGAUGUUGCAUGUAAAUCGAGAACGUCAGAUUUAAUUUCUAUGGUCAUGUAAUUGCUAUAAUGAGUCAUCAUAAAUUCUAUUUGAUAAAUAUGCCACUUUACCUGCAUGUUUUUUCCUUAUGGUGUAGUGUAUAAAUAUCCUACUUACCUAUAUAUACCAAUUUUAUAGUAUAUAAAUCUGCACCAAAACACAUAUUUUUAUUACAGAUAUUAAUUGAGAUUGAGUACGGAAGAGGAUUCGAUGUUCAUCCCUAGAGCUAUGUGUUCACUUUUAUUUCCUGGACAAACACUUGCAUGCCUGGCACCAUCCAACAGCAAUAUGUUGUCAUUCAUCAAUGAAAAAAGAAGGCAGGGCGGAAGUAGGUACUUUGAUCAUGUGUCUUCUCCAAAAAUGACUUUAGUACUGGAUACUACAUUUUUUUCAUAUAUACUCCUUGUGUCUUGUGUAAUACUUAGUGUUGAGCUUCUUAGGAUAUUAACUUUUGGGGCUAUUUAUAGCUGAAUGGGAUCCAACUGCUGAAAAUUACAGAAAAUUAUAAUUAUAUAGGUGCAAGUUAUCCCACGGCACAUGACCGUUAAGAAUUCAUGUGAAAUCUACUGAUAAACUCAAGCUUUGGUGCAGCGGUCGGUGCUUCCCAUGCCUCGCCUCCUCACUGUCCAGCAUAUGUUCCUUCAGGUAGGUAUUAGUGGAUAAAGUACCUUUGUGCAGUAGGAUUAGUGGAUCACCAAAAUAUUUCUUUAGCCGAUGAUGUACAUAGCUUUUCAGGUAAUGUCGCUUUGUUAUUGACGAUGAAACUUAUUAGUUUCCGUGGUGAAGUAAUAAUCAUUUAGAACAUCAAAACUACAAGCCUGGCGUGUGGCAUCAGAUGCUGUUGUCAGCAUGAGCCAUCAUUUUUUUCUUGCUUAUUAAUUUGUAUAUGUUGAGGUGUGAAUUUGAAUGCUUGUGUUUGGGUGGUAGAUGAUUUCUACACCAGCGGUGACAACAACCAACGGUCUGAAUUGUAGAUAAUUGUUGCAUUGCAGGAUAUCUUGUAUUAUUCCUUAUGAGAUAUCAAAUUUUGAGCAGACAAUGAUUCUAUUAUUUUCUCCUAAGAGCAGGUACUCACUUGCUUUUGGAUAUUUAUAACACUUCUUUUUUGUUAUUAGGAACUAUCUUUGUUGAUAUGUCCUUGUGAACUAUUUCUUUCACAGGUUUUAAUGAGUAUAUAGAUGGACAUCUGUGCUUCAACCAAAAAGGAAAUUAUACAUCACAGAGGUACUCCAAGUUCUGAUGUUGUUAUCUUUCAAUGCUACAAUUGUAUUCAUCUCGGUGAGGAACUGUAAGAGGGCUAUAGAUUGCUAAUUUAGUACAUGUUGUUCUGCUUUUUCAUUCAUAUAUAUUUGUGCCUAUCUAUGUCAGCAUGUCACAAUUGUAUUCAUCUCGGUGAGGAGCUGUAAGAGAGAUUGGUAACUUAUAUUCAGUGUGUAAAUUCCUUCUAACAAUACAGACUGUUUUCUUGAAAGCUUUGAAAGGAAAACAAAUACUCUGUUCAGUUUCUUCUCAACUCUUAGUUCUCGGUACUGUACAAGCUAUUCACAUGCUCAUUUUUUUAUGUUAUUUAGAAAAAUGAAUCCAUCUAAAUGCUACUGUGGUAAGUUCAUGCACAUUAUUCAGUCUCAGAAUCUCCAUUGGUAUAUGCACUGUCUGGAAUCUAUUGCAGGAAUAUGAGCAUGUUUACGCAGCCUGUCCAACCAUCUAACCGCUGCAGUUUUUCAGUACCAAGACUACUCACGGAAUGCCUCCACUUUGUCAGGGCAUGCCUACUUGGAGUUGGAGUCACAAUCUGAUCAGUUUUUACUUGCAAGCAUAAUGUGAUAAGUGUAGACAAUGCCCUGGCUGUGCUACUUGCACUUCUUAUUAGUGAUGAGCAACAAGUCUAUCUUCCUAACUGGAGUUUCAUUUCCUGCAUCUCACGUUGUUGUUCAAAAAUAUGACCAAUUAGUAUACUUAAUACAAAAAAAUCUAUGGAUUGCCUACGUUAAGUUCUGUCACUUUACUAUGGUAUCUUUUCUUGCAUCUCUGGUAUUUUGUUUAUAUAUUGAUCUGGCAAGGACUCAUUGAGAAUUCGGGUGAGUAUUGUGCAACUUGUCUAAAAGUUAAGAUUGCUUCUGCACUUAAGAGUUGCAUGACUAUGGCCUGGGGUGGGGGGCAGGUUUUUCAUGUGAACAAUCUUCUGUCUUCCCAUACGGGUUGUCCUACCGUUGAUAAGGCUGUGUGUGUGCUCAAUCCGAGGUCUCUCUCUCUCUCUCUCUCUCUCUCUCUCUCUCUCUCACAGACACAUUCAUAGUUCUGAUCCAUUUUUUCUGCUCCUCUAUAUAUUGUAGAAACAAUUGGUAUAGCAUCAGAUUUAUGUGCUUACUAGGUUUGUUUGUUAAUUCUAGAGAUUUUAUUAUAAUCCUCAGAAAAAUGAUGUGUUAAUUCUUGCAUGACUUCAAUAAGAAAGAGGUAAAACUUAACCGCUAUCACCUUAUCAUUGUUGAUCACUUUUACCACGUCGCUGUCAUGAUUCAUCCUGUAGACUUGUACAAAAAGGCCUGUACUCAAAGCCUUGUGAAAACAGUCAACAUAAGGUAUGUACUCUGCUCAAUCCUUCAUGGAUGAUCCUUUUUUACAUCCUAUAAUUUUUAAUGUUUUCUUCCUAUUUGUAGAUGUUUGAUAUUGUGUUCUUUAAAUAUGCAAGAUUAACUUUCGUUUUUAUCAUCGAGCGCUUAACAAUUGAGUACCUCGGAAUAACAUCAGCGAAGUCACCCAUUUUAGGCUAUGACAUAUAACCCUUUAUGUAAUUAUGUUAGAUAUUUCCUCAGUUUACCAGACCAUGUAUAAAACCUGUGGAGCAAUGCUGGUUAAUUCUUGCAUGUGUGGUUACUCUACCUCUUCUUAUGACUAUAAAUUUUCUUGCAUUUUUUUCUACCUCUAUGAAAGCCUGUUAUAAAAUUCAAUUUACUAUGCGUGAUGACCUUCGAUGUUUUAAAAUUUUGAAAAAUUAAUUUAUUAGCUAGCAAGACGAUUCUUUAAAGCAUAUGGGAAAGAGAAAUUUUACCACUUAUUUUUUGUCAAGGCCUCCAUAUAAUUUCCAGUUCAUUUCUUAAGCAUACAUAUUUUUAUCGGGGUCUCUGUAUAUAGCUUAUUGCAGGUGUAAGGAAAAUUCAUUUUCCUUCUCCGCUGAUCUGCCUACUAUGAGCAAGUAUAUCUGUUUGUGAAGAUGCACAAAAGGCAUAGAUCUUAGGCUUUCUUAUAUAUUGUGGUUGCACACUGUCACUUAAUUCCUCAGCGUUUUGCAUCUAUUUAUGUGUUUGUUUUCCUCUACAACUCUUGAAUUACGCAAAUAAUUUUACCCAUAUAUCUAUUCAUGGGAUUUCUUACCUAUUUUGGUACACUUGAUUUGCUGCUCCAUUUGUUUUGUGAAACCUAAGAAAUGUGUUAUCAUAUUGGUAGCUAAUUUUAAUCACGUUAUACAAAAUUUACAUUGGCACGAGCUUCAUGGGAUCGUGCGCCAAGGCGCACAUCUAAA